GAGGGGUCCGCGUCCGAUUAGCUAGUUGGCAGGGUAAUGGCCUACCAAGGCGACGAUCGGUAGCCGGCCUGAGAGGGUGAUCGGCCACACUGGAACUGAGACACGGUCCAGACUCCUACGGGAGGCAGCAGUGGGGAAUUUUGCGCAAUGGGCUAACGCCUGACGCAGCAACGCCGCGUGGAGGAUGAAGGUCUUUGGAUUGUAAACUCCUGUCAGCAGGGAAAAAGCGAAUCGGCCUAACACGCCGGUGAGUUGAUUGUACCUGCAGAAGAAGCCCCGGCUAACUCUGUGCCAGCAGCCGCGGUAAUACAGAGGGGGCAAGCGUUAUUCGGAAUUAUUGGGCGUAAAGGGCGCGUAGGCGGCUUCGCAAGUGGAUGGUGAAAUCCCUCGGCUUAACCGAGGAACUGCCAUCCAAACUGCGUUGCUUGAGGCCGGGAGAGGCGAGUGGAAUUCCCAGUGUAGCGGUGAAAUGCGUAGAUAUUGGGAGG
rnacentral:rRNA from 1 species